AAUUUAAUUAUGUCUCUAGAGUCUUCCAUUCUGAUUCUAUAUAUUUUAGAUUUAGUCCCUCCUCCCUUCCCACCCCUUCACACAUCACAAUUUCAAUCCUUCUUUUUCUUCUUCACACCAUUCUCACUCAUCUCAAGGUUCGUUUUUUUUCCCCUUUUUUUAAAUUAUGAAACCCUAAUUUUUUUUUAUAACGCAAUUCGCUUAUCGAUUGCUUUUUCAAUUUCUGUUAUUCAGGGCUUUUAAUUUACGCUCGCGUUUCGUUCUUCAUCAUCUUCGUUCGAUCAAUCAAUCCAUAAUGACUCAUAUCCUUUCUCAUUGUUCAUUCGUGAGAAAAAUUGGGGAAAAUUAUCGAUUUUCUUUUUCAAUUUUUAAUUUUUUUGUUAGCAAUUGCAUUCUGUUUGGAUUAAUUGAAAGGAUUGAAAUUUAAAAGGAAUAAUUUUAAUAAUUGGGAAAAUUAGGGUUUGUGAUUUUUUUUUUUCAUCAUGAUAUGCAAUUUCGUUUUGUUGUUUGAACUUAACUGAAGCUCACGCGGUAAUCAAAGAGAAAGAGAUCGUGAAAGAGCUCAAGCAAGAGCGAAUCAGAAAGCUAAACAAUCUAAGAGUGAUGGAUUGACACCUGAACAACGAAGAGAAAGGUUCAUUUUUUAACCCUCUUUUUUUAUGUUUAAUUUGUAAUGAUGAUUAAUUAAUUAAUAAUUAAUUAAUAAUUUUGUGUGUUAAUUUGGAUUAGGGAUGCAAAAGCAUUGCAAGAGAAAGCUGCAAGGAAAGCUGGACAGCGUGCUGGAGGAAGUAACAUGGGUGGGGGUGGUGGUGGAGAUAAAUAAUUAGGAAAUAAUUAUGAUAAUUAAUUGAAUAUUUAGAGAUAUUAGGAAGGAAUGAAGGGUGUAAUUGUGAUGAUUAUGGUUGUUUUUAUUUGAUGAUAUGGGUUUAUGGUUUUAAGUCAUCUGCUGCAAAUUAUGUUUAUUCUGAUAAACUAAUUUAUGGUGUGGAAGGGUAUUAUUGUUAUUGUUUGUUGUUGGCUUUUUAACCUUUUACUUUUAUCUGAUUUUGAAUGCAAUAUCUAUUUGUAACAUUGUGUAAUCACUAGUAUUUCUUAUUCUUUAUCUUUUUAUUUUUGUAUCUGUCAAAUCCCAAAAUUUCCUUCCAUAAACCAUAAAUUUGCU
rnacentral:lncRNA from 1 species